GUUGAUGUACUUUCUAUUCACUCUUUCUACUGGCUGUGUAGGAAAUCAACGAAUUGAAUUUUCAACAUUUUACCUAAAAAACAAUAUAAACGUGAUUUAAAAAAUUCAAUCAAGUGAUUUUUUUCUCUUCUAGAUUUCAUGUUUUAUCUUUAUGUUUAAUUAUAAACUUUGUUUAUUUUUUAAUAUUUUUAGUAUUUUAAAAAUAAUUUUAUAAAAUAUUCAAUUGAGAAAUACAGAUUUAUGUUC
rnacentral:lncRNA from 1 species